rnacentral:rRNA from 1 species
AAUUUCCCGGUUGAUCCUGCCGGACCUGACUGCUAUCGGAUUGAUACUAAGCCAUGCGAGUCAUUGUAGCAAUACAAGGCAGACGGCUCAGUAACGCGUAGUCAACCUAACCUAUGGACGGGAAUAACCUCGGGAAACUGAGUAUAAUGUCCGAUAGAGCAUUAUGCCUGGAAUGGUUUAUGUUCCAAAUGAUUUAUCGCCGUAGGAUGGGACUGCGGCCUAUCAGUUUGUUGGUGAGGUAAUGGCCCACCAAGACUAUUACAGGUACGGGCUCUGAGAGGAGUAGCCCGGAGAUGGGUACUGAGACACGGACCCAGGCCCUAUGGGGCGCAGCAGGCGAGAAACCUUUGCAAUGUGCGCAAGCACGACAAGGUUAAUCCGAGUGUUUCCUGUUAAAGGAAUCUUUUGUUAGUCGUAAAACCACUAUUGAAUAAGGGGUGGGCAAGUUCUGGUGUCAGCCGCCGCGGUAAAACCAGCACCUCAAGUGGUCAGGAUGAUUAUUGGGCCUAAAGCAUCCGUAGCCUGUUCUGUAAGUUUCCGGUUAAAUCCAUUAGCUCAACUAAUGGGCUGCCGAAAAUACUGCAGAACUAGGGAGUGGGAGAGGUAGACGGUACUCGGUAGGAAGGGGUAAAAUCCUUUGAUCUAUUGAUGACCACCUGUGGCGAAGGCGGUCUACCAGAACACGUUCGACGGUGAGGGAUGAAAGCUGGGGGAGCAAACCGGAUUAGAUACCCGGGUAGUCCCAGCUGUAAACGAUGCAGACUCGGUGAUGCGCUGGCUUGUGGCCAGUGCAGUGCCGCAGGGAAGCCGUUAAGUUUGCCGCCUGGGAAGUACGUACGCAAGUAUGAAACUUAAAGGAAUUGGCGGGGGAGCACCACAAGGGGUGAAGCCUGCGGUUCAAUUGGAUUCAACGCCGGA